CGCCCAACAGCUAGCCCACACCCACCCCCCAACAAAUAACUAUUAAUACCCCUUAAUAACCUCAAGAAAGACCAAACAAACCAUUUUUCCCCCUUAGUAUGGGCGACAGAAAAGGAUCCAGGAGCAACAGAAAAAGUACCGCAAGGGAAAGCUGAAAAAGAAAUGAAAUAACCCAUUCAAGCCUAAAAAAGCAGAGAUUUAACCUCGUACCUUUUGCAUCAUGAUUUAGCUAGUACCCUUAAGCAAAGAGCCCUUUAGUUUAACACCCCGAAACUGAGCGAGCUACUCCAAGACAGCCUAUCCAGGGCAAACCCGUCUCUGUGGCAAAAGAGUGGGAAGAUCUUCGAGUAGAGGUGACAGACCUACCGAGCCCAGUAAUAGCUGGUUGCCUAAGAAAUGAAUAGAAGUUCAGCCUCCGGGAUUCCCAACCCAAACCAGUCUCACCCGACUUGGCCCCAGGAAGCCCAGAGAGUUAGUCAAAAGAGGUACAGCUCUUUUGAAACAAGACACAACUUUACCAGGCGGAUAAAGAUCAAAAUAAUAAAGGAAAAAUGUUUCGGUGGGCCUAAAAGCAGCCAUCCUAGCAGAAAGCGUUAAAGCUCAAACAUACUUAUAUCCCCUUAUCCUGAUAACCAAUCUUAAACCCCUGACCCAGUAUUAGGCCUCCUCAUGCAACCAUGAGAGAGUUAAUGCUAAAAUGAGUAAUAAGAGGGAAGCCCCUCUCCUUGCACACGUGUACAUCGGAACGGACUACCCACCGAUAAAUAAACGGCCCCAAACAAAGAGGGAAAUGAACAAUAAAACAUAAACUAGAAAAACACUCAACAAAAACCGUUAACCCCACACUGGUGUGCAACAAGGAAAGACUAAAAGAAAAAGAAGGAACUCGGCAAACCCAGGCCUCGCCUGUUUACCAAAAACAUCGCCUCUUGCAAAAACAACAAAUAAGAGGUCCCGCCUGCCCUGUGACUAUAUGUUUAACGGCCGCGGUAUUUUGACCGUGCGAAGGUAGCGCAAUCACUUGUCUUUUAAAUGAAGACCUGUAUGAAUGGCACGACGAGGGCCUAGCUGUCUCCUUUUUCAGGUCAAUGAAAUUGAUCUUCCCGUGCAGAAGCGGGAAUAACUAUAUAAGACGAGAAGACCCUAUGGAGCUUCAGACACAAAGCAGCCCACGUUAAUAACCUCCAAACAAGGAACUAAACUAAGUGAUAUCCUGCCAGAAUGUCUUUGGUUGGGGCGACCGCGGGGAAAAACCAAACCCCCAUGUGGAAAAGGAGGACUCCUCCUACAACCAAGAGCCACUGCUCUAAGUAACAGAAUUUCUGACCAAAAUGAUCCGGCAAUGCCGAUCAACGGACCGAGUUACCCUAGGGAUAACAGCGCAAUCCUCUUCCAGAGCCCAUAUCGACAAGGGGGUUUACGACCUCGAUGUUGGAUCAGGACAUCCUAAUGGUGCAGCCGCUAUUAAGGGUUCGUUUGUUCAACGAUUAAAGUCCUACGUGAUCUGAGUUCAGACCGGAGUAAUCCAGGUCAGUUUCUAUCUAUAAUAUGAUCUUUUCUAGUACGAAAGGACCGAAAAGAAGAGGCCCAUACUAAAAGCACGCCUCACCCCCACCUAAUGAAAACAACUAAAAUAGGCAAGAGGGCAUGCCCCUUAAGCCUAAGAAAAUGGCAU
rnacentral:rRNA from 1 species